AUGCAAUUGACCACUUGGCUGUCUAUUGGUUCAACUUGUCACAGGCCCUCCCAGUCAACACCACCUCAUAAGAUGAGGAAGUACAUUGUUUAUGAGGAUUGCCUGCUGCAGUUGUUCGAAAGAUGUCCAGUUUGCAGCCGAACAUGCAACAUAGAGAAGACCAACGCAGGGACCCUCAGCAUUACACAGACAUGGCCUCGCUGUGAGCAUUCCUAUACAUUAAACGGGGAGGACACUUGAAUCAGUUUCUUUGAUGAGUGGCCAGGAGCCGAUCUAUGCUGCCAUGCCCAUCAAUGGGGCCCUGGCAAAGACCUUACCUCCUGCUUCACCUCUUGCCUGCUCACCAACGUCGUCGAUGGGGAGACCAGAAUUAGAUGCAUCUAUGGAGCCGGCAAUUGGGAGACUUGCAAGAUGAUGUGAUGGAGUCCUGACCGGCAGACAGGCUUGAUUCUGACGUCUCUGAAUGGAGAGAGACCUGGCACUUAACACAUCCACAAUGUGGGACUGAAGGUGAUUACUAAUAAUACAGUACAGCAAAUGUCUAGUAUUUGCAACACCCUUUUCAUUAUUUUAAUUCCAUUGGAAACACCAGUUAGUCCUCUCACUCAAACCCUUGUCAUUUUUGUUGUCUUAUGUUUCACCUACCACACAUUUUCCAGGAAUAUUCUUAUAAUGUUCCUGAAUGUAUCCAGAGUAUUUUCAGAUUUCGUUGCUGCGAAAAGUACAGUAAAUGUAAAAUUCACAAAAUCAAGCGGAAUGUUUGGAUUCAUUCUUGUGUCAGGUGAGCUGUUGUGUCCUCACCUUUGGUCUAAUCAUUUUCCCAUAAUCUCGAAACUGGUCCCUUUCAAUUGCUUCCAUGCUUAUGCUUUUCAUAUUUCUUCCUUCUAUGCCAAUUCCCAUGAGUGUAAAGGGUUAAGGAAAAUGUUUUUAUUUGUAUGUUUAGCUCACAUAAUACA